UUUGCAAGGCAUUGCCAGAAAAAACAACAGGAGAAGAAAUUUUUCGGGUCACAUCAGAAUACCUUGAACAAGGAGGAUUUAAGUGGGAAAACUGCACAAGUGUCUGCACCGAUGGAGCUGCAGCCAUGGUCGGGCACACCAAAGGCUUUGUAAGCAGAGUGAAGGAAAGAAAUCCAGAUGUGAUUGUUACGCAUUGUUUUUUACACUGUGAGGCCCUCGUAGCCAAGACUUUACCAGCAGACCUAGUCCAUGUGUUGGAUAAUGUUGUGCGCAUGCCAAACAGGCCCAGGUUGCACACUGAAUAAAGUAUUUUAUAAUUUUUCAUAUUUCUGUUUACUUACUAUUUCAUAAUAAAGUAAUUAUAAAAUA